rnacentral:lncRNA from 1 species
GCUCCGUCCGACUUAACUGAAAUUAACCGCACAAUAACCUUACAUUUCGGUCGUUUAGUCACAAAUGAUUGCAAAUGUAUUUCCUGAAAGGUUCUGUGUUCUGUUAUCGAUUCCGAUCUCUACUAAUCUUACUUAAUGCUUGUCUUUUGUCAAUUGUCAUUACGAAGCAAGAUAUAAUGUUAUACUUAUAGAUUGCUUGAUGUAACCCUAGGAUUCGAAUAUAAAUUAGUUUCAACUGUUCACUGUGUUAUACUUCUGUCUUGUAAAUAAGUACAAAUGCCUCAUAGCUUGUGGUUUUUCUAAUUUAAG